rnacentral:rRNA from 1 species
GUGUCAGCCGCCGCGGUAAUACGGAGGGUGCAAGCGUUAUCCGGAUUCACUGGGUUUAAAGGGUGCGUAGGCGGGCAGGUAAGUCAGUGGUGAAAUCCUGGAGCUCAACUCCAGAACUGCCAUUGAUACUAUCUGUCUUGAAUAUUGUGGAGGUAAGCGGAAUAUGUCAUGUAGCGGUGAAAUGCUUAGAUAUGACAUAGAACACCCAUUGCGAAGGCAGCUUACUACGCAUAUAUUGACGCUGAGGCACGAAAGCGUGGGGAUCAAACAGGAUUAGAUACCCUGGUAGUCCACGCCCUAAACGAUGGAUACUCGACAUACGCGAUACACUGUGUGUGUCUGAGCGAAAGCAUUAAGUAUCCCACCUGGGAAGUACGUUCGCAAGAAUGAAACUCAAAGGAAUUGACGGGG